UUCGGGUUGUCAUGCCAAUGGCACUGCCCGGUAGCUACGUUCGGAACUGAUAAGCGCUGAAAGCAUCUAAGCGCGAAGCAGGCCUCGAGAUGAGUUCUCACUAGACUUUUAAAGUCUCUGAAGGGCCGUUGAAGACUACAACGUUGAUAGGCAGGAUGUGGAAGUGGUGUGAGCCAUUAAGCUAACCUGUACUAAUUACCCGUGAGGCUUAACCAUACAACGCCAAACGCGUUU
rnacentral:rRNA from 1 species